AGUGGACGCUGGCGGUAGGCCUAACACAUGCCAGUCGAACGGCAGCACAGUAAGAGCUUGCUCUUACGGGUGGCGAGUGGCGGACGGGUGAGGAAUACAUCGGAAUCUACUUUUUCGUGGGGGAUAACGUAGGGAAACUUACGCUAAUACCGCAUACGACCUACGGGUGAAAGCAGGGGAUCUUCGGACCUUGCGCGAUUGAAUGAGCCGAUGUCGGAUUAGCUAGUUGGCGGGGUAAAGGCCCACCAAGGCGACGAUCCGUAGCUGGUCUGAGAGGAUGAUCAACCACACUGGAACUGAGACACGGUCCAGACUCCUACGGGAGGCAGCAGUGGGGAAUAUUGGACAAUGGGCGCAAGCCUGAUCCAGCCAUACCGCGUGGGUGAAGAAGGCCUUCGGGUUGUAAAGCCCUUUUGUUGGGAAAGAAAAGCAGCAGGUUAAUACCCCGCUGUUCUGACGGUACCCAAAGAAUAAGCACCGGCUAACUUCGUG
rnacentral:rRNA from 1 species